rnacentral:tRNA from 1 species
GUGCCCUUGGCCGAGCGGCUGAGGCUCUGCCCUCCCAAGGCAGUCAGGCGGGUUCGACUCCCGCAGGGCACU